rnacentral:rRNA from 1 species
GUGCCAGCCGCCGCGGUAAUACAGAGGUCCCAAGCGUUGUUCGGAUUCACUGGGCGUAAAGGGUGCGCAGGUGGGCUGAUAAGUUCGAUGUGAAAGCCCCGGGCUUAACCCGGGAAUGGCAUUGGAAACUGUUGGUCUGGAGGGUUGGAGGGGGGACUGGAAUUCUUGGUGUAGCAGUGAAAUGCGUAGAUAUCAAGAGGAACACCAGUGGCGAAGGCGAGUCCCUGGACAAACCCUGACACUGAGGCACGAAAGCCAAGGGAGCAAACAGGAUUAGAAACCCUAGUAGUCC